GCCGGGGUGGGUUAGUGGUUAUGCUAAAGGACUGUGGAUCCUUUGACUCGGGUUCGAAUCCCGACCUCGGCC
rfam:Candidatus Syntrophoarchaeum caldarius isolate BOX2 BOX2_8_reassembly_contig07, whole genome shotgun sequence.